AAUAGAUAACGCCGUUGACUCUUUUCACAUGUUUGACCAUUUGUCUUAUUCAAAAAAAUUACGUAAUUAUAAUUUAUUUUGUUAUGAGUUGUUUUAUCACUCAUAGUAUUUUAAGUGUGAUUUAUAUAUAUGUUAUAUAUUUACAUAAAAUUUUUGAAUAAGACAAAUGGUUAAACAUGUGAGAAAAAGUCAACGGCGUCAUCUGUU
rfam:Oryza glumipatula chromosome 12, whole genome shotgun sequence.